rnacentral:misc_RNA from 1 species
AAGUCGUAACAAGGUUUCCGUAGGUGAACCUGCGGAAGGAUCAUUAAACGUUUUCCAACGUACCAACCACGUGAACUCGUUUUCGAGUGUCUGCGGUCGGCCUUGAGGGCGUCAAAGUAUGGUGGGCAUCCGCGGGCCGCAAGGCUCGAGGCUCUGCUGUUUGACGUUCUGCAUCGUCUUCGGACGAGACAAGCCGCGCCUCAGCAACCAUUUAUUCUUUAAUUAUUUUUUAAAACGCAUUGUACCACUCGUACUAACACUUUGUGAAGUCGGCAGAGCGUGCUUGCGCGCACUCCGAUGAACUUAAAGACAUUAAUUGCUGAACAACUCUUAGCAACGGAUAUCUUGGUUCUC